rnacentral:rRNA from 1 species
UACGGAGGGGGCUAGCGUUACUCGGAAUGACUGGGCGUAAAGGGCGCGUAGGCGGCUUACAUAGUUAGGCGUGAAAUUCCUGGGCUCAACCUGGGGACUGCGUCUAAUACAUGUAGGUUUGAGUGUGAAAGAGGGUCGUGGAAUUUCCAGUGGAGAGGUGAAAUUCGUAGAUAUUGGAAAGAACACCGGUGGCGAAGGAGGCGGCCGGGGUCAUUAAUGACGCUGAGGCGCGAAAGCGUGGGGAGCAAACAGG